rnacentral:rRNA from 1 species
GACGAACGCUGGCGGCGUGCUUCACACAUGCAAGUCGAACGAAGUGGCGAACGGGUGAGUAACGCGUAAUCAACCUGCCCUUAAGAGGGGAACAACAGUUGGAAACGACUGAUACUACCGAAUACUGAAGGUGGUGAUUGCGUCUGAUUAGCUAGUUGGAGGGGUAACGGCCCACCAAGGCGAUGAUCAGUAGCCGGGCUGAGAGGAUGAACGGCCACAUUGGGACUGAGACACGGCCCAGACUCCUACGGGAGGCAGCAGUGGGGAAUCUUCCGAAAUGGACGAAAGUCUGACGGAGCAACGCCGCGUGAGUGAUGACGGCCUUCGGGGUGUAAAGCUCUGUUAAUCGGGACGCGGUACCGGAAUAGAAAGCCACGGCUAACUACGUGCCAGCAGCCGCGGUAAUUC